rnacentral:piRNA from 2 species
AGAGAAACAAGCCGAGAAAGAAAUUA